UGCCAACUGCCACCAUGACAAGCAGCAUGUGAAGACACAAGUAAGCCACAAGCCACGUGUCAAGAGGUGUUUGCUGACCAGCGGCUUUUGAACUGACCAGAAGUUGAACCUAUGAGAAAGAUAAGCCUGGGACAAUAAAUCCAUGUAUCCUGGACUUGGCAAAGCAAGAUAUGAGGAGUAAUGGGCUCAGUUGACCAGAAGUUGAACUCAAGAGAGAGUGGACUACAACAAUAAAUCCGAAUGUGUCAACAAAAGCAGGACAUAGGGAGUAAAAAUUUAUUUCUCUGUAGAUACCCUGAACCCUGUUAGCCAUUAGUAACCUUAUGCUUACCUCACCCCAGCCCCCGCUCACCCAAUCCCAAGAUACAUAACACUCUGCAUGUGAACCUUUCCUAUAUAAACACCUUAAAGUGAGUGUUUGGGACCUUCCCUCAUUUCACCCUCUGUAAAGUGGUGUCAGGGAAGUCCCUGCCUUGGCCAGAAUAAACGAAACCUUUUGUUCUUACAUCGGAA